CCUACGGGAGGCAGCAGUGAGGAAUCUUCGUCAAUGGGCGCGAGCCUGAACCAGCCAAGUCGCGUGAUGGAAGACGGUCCUAUGGAUUGUAAACCUCUUUUGUCGGGGAGCAAAAGACGCCACGCGUGGCGUUCCGAGAGUACCCGAAGAAAAAGCAUCGGCAAACUCCGUGCCAGCAGCCGCGGUAAUACGAAGGAUGCGAGCGUUCUCGGGAUUUAUUGGGUUAAAAGGGGGGGCAGGCGGAAGAUCAAGUCAGCGGGAAAAUUGAGAGGCUCAACCUCUUAGAGCCGUUGAAACUGGUUUUCUUGAGUGAGUGAGAGGUAUGCGGAAUGCGUGGUGUAGCGGUGAAAUGCAUAGAUAUCACGCAGAACUCCGAUUGCGAAGGCAGCAUACCGGCGCUCAACUGACGCUCAUGCACGAAAGUGUGGGUAUCGAACAGGAUUAGAUACCCCAGUAGUC
rnacentral:rRNA from 1 species